UGAGCCUACGGGGGGCAGCAGUGAGGAAUAUUGGUCAAUGGGCGGGAGCCUGAACCUGCCAAGUCGCGUGAGGGAAGACGGUCCUAUGGAUUGUAAACCUCUUUAGGCGGGGAGCAAUGCCGGGCACGCGUGCCCGGAGGGAGAGUACCCGCAGAAUAAGCAUCGGCUAACUCCGUGCCAGCAGCCGCGGUAAUACGGAGGAUCCGAGCGUUAUCCGGAUUCAUUGGGUUUAAAUGUUGCGUAGGUUGUUUUAUAAGUUAGCGGUGAAAUACCGAUGCUCAACAUCGGGGCUGCCGCUGAUACUG
rnacentral:rRNA from 1 species